UCCAUGGUGGCUCAGACAGUAAAGCAUCUGUCUACAAUGCAGGAGACCCAGGUUCAAUCCCUGGGUUGGGAA
rnacentral:tRNA from 1 species